rnacentral:rRNA from 1 species
GGUCGAUUCGGGGCAGCAGGCGUGGGAAUGCGAAGGGGGCGAGCGUGGCGCGGAAGGACUGGGCGGAAAGGGGGCGUAGGCGGGUCGCACAGUCGGGCGUGAAAUGCCCGGGCUCAACCUGGGGGCUGCGUUCGAUACGUGCGGACUAGAGUGGGGAAGAGGGUCGUGGAAUUCCCAGGGUAGAGGUGAAAUUCGUAGAUAUUGGGAAGAACACCGGUGGCGAAGGCGGCGACCUGGUCCUUGACUGACGCUGAGGCGCGAAAGCGUGGGGAGCAAACAGGAUUAGAUACCCGUGUAGUC